UNUGACUUGAGUGCAGAAGGGGAGAGUGGAAUUCCAUGUGUAGCGGUGAAAUGCGUAGAUAUAUGGAGGAACACCAGUGGCGUAAGCGGCUCUCUGGUCUGUCACUGACGCUGAGGCUCGAAAGCGUGGGUAGCGAACAGGAUUAGAUACCNUGGUAGUCCACGCCGUAAACGAUGAGUGCUAGGUGUUAGGCCCUUUCCGGGGCUUAGUGCCGGAGCUAACGCAAUAAGCACUCCGCCUGGGGAGUACGACCGCAAGGUUGAAACUCAAAGGAAUUGACGGGGGCCCGCACAAGCGGUGGAGCAUGUGGUUUAAUUCGAAGCAACGCGAAGAACCUUACCAGGUCUUGACAUCCCGAUGCUAUUCUUAGAGAUAGGAAGUUACUUCGGUACAUCGGAGACAGGUGGUGCAUGGUUGUCGUCAGCUCGUGUCGUGAGAUGUUGGGUUAAGUCCCGCAACGAGCGCAACCCUUAUUGUUAGUUGCCAUCAUUAAGUUGGGCACUCUAGCGAGACUGCCGGUAAUAAACCGGAGGAAGGUGGGGAUGACGUCAAAUCAUCAUGCCCCUUAUGACCUGGGCUACACACGUGCUACAAUGGUCGGUACAACGAGUUGCGAGCCGGUGACGGCAAGCUAAUCUCUGAAAGCCGAUCUCAGUUCGGAUUGGAGGCUGCAACUCGCCUCCAUGAAGUCGGAAUCGCUAGUAAUCGCGGAUCAGCACGCCGCGGUGAAUACGUUCCCGGGCCUUGUACACACCGCCCGUCACACCACGAGAGUUUGUAACACCCGAAGUCGGUGAGGUAACCUUUUAGGGGCCAGCCG
rnacentral:rRNA from 1 species